ACCGCAGUAGGGGCCAUUUGGCCCCCCAAGGGCACGUGUCGUUGGCUAAGCCGUCGUGGCGGAAGGGUCACGGUGGCCGCCUUGAAUUACAAUUCCGAUCGAGCGGCGAGCUGAAUCCUUUGCAGACGACUUAAAUACGCGACGGGGUAUUGUAAGGGGUAGAGUGGCCUUGCUGCCACGAUCCUCUGAGAUUCAGCCCUUUGUCGCUCCGAUUCGU
rfam:Ipomoea nil DNA, scaffold: scaffold2998, cultivar: Tokyo-kokei standard.